GUGGCGCAGCUAACGCACUAAGUAGACCGCCUGGGGAGUACGGCCGCAAGGUUAAAACUCAAAUGAAUUGACGGGGGCCCGCACAAGCGGUGGAGCAUGUGGUUUAAUUCGACGCAACGCGAAGAACCUUACCUGGCCUUGACAUGCAGAGAACUUUCCAGAGAUGGAUUGGUGCCUUCGGGAACUCUGACACAGGUGCUGCAUGGCCGUCGUCAGCUCGUGCCGUGAGAUGUUGGGUUAAGUCCCGUAACGAGCGCAACCCCUAUCCCUAGUUGCUAGCAGUUCGGCUGAGAACUCUAGGGAGACUGCCGGUGACAAACCGGAGGAAGGUGGGGAUGACGUCAGGUCAUCAUGGCCCUUACGGCCAGGGCUACACACGUGCUACAAUGGUGCGUACAGAGGGCUGCAAACCCGCGAGGGGGAGCUAAUCUCACAAAACGCAUCGUAGUCCGGAUCGGAGUCUGCAACUCGACUCCGUGAAGUCGGAAUCGCUAGUAAUCGCGAAUCAGAAUGUCGCGGUGAAUACGUUCCCGGGCCUUGUACACACCGCCCGUCACACCAUGGGAGUGGAUUGCACCAGAAGUGGUUAGUCUAACCUUCGGGAGGACGAU
rnacentral:rRNA from 1 species